rnacentral:misc_RNA from 1 species
GUUUUUUUAGUUAAUUUGAUUGUUGUUGUGCAUUGACUCAUAAAUUCUUGAUUUGAGUAUGAGUUACCUUCUCGUUUCAAGCCAAUUCGAUUGUUUUUAUGAGUUGUCUUGGCGUAUGUGGUUUGGUUUGGUUAUUUGCGAGAUUCCAUUUUGCAAAUUUGAAUAAAAUUGCUGGCUCUUAAGCUCUUUUUUUGUAAUCCGUAGGCCUGACUCAGUAGAGAGUGU